rnacentral:misc_RNA from 1 species
GAUGAAGAACGCAGCGAAAUGCGAUAAGUAGUGUGAAUUGCAGAAUUCAGUGAAUCAUCGAAUCUUUGAACGCACAUUGCGCCCCUUGGUAUUCCAUGGGGCAUGCCUGUUCGAGCGUCAUUUGUACCCUCAAGCUUUGCUUGGUGUUGGGUGUUUGUCCCGCGUUGCGCGUGGACUCGCCUUAAAGCGAUUGGCAGCCGGCAUAUUGGCCUUGGAGCGCAGCACAUUUUGCGCUUCUAGUCAUGAAUGUUGGCGUCCAUUAAGCCUAUACAUUUGCUCUUGACCUCGGAUCAGGUAGGGAUACCCGCUGAACUUAAGCAUAUCAAUAAGCGGAGGA